rnacentral:rRNA from 1 species
UACGUAGGGGGCAAGCGUUGUCCGGAUUUAUUGGGCGUAAAGAGCGUGUAGGCGGCCAUACAGGUCCGUUGUGAAAACUCGAGGCUUAACCUCGAGACGUCGAUGGAAACCGUAUGGCUAGAGUCCGGAAGAGGAGAGUGGAAUUCCUGGUGUAGCGGUGAAAUGCGCAGAUAUCAGGAAGAACACCCGUGGCGAAGGCGGCUUCCUGGACACUAACUGACGCUGAGACGCGAAAGCGUGGGGAGCAAACAGG